AUUGAACGCUGGCGGCAGGCCUAACACAUGCAAGUCGAACGGUAACAGGAAACAGCUUGCUGUUUCGCUGACGAGUGGCGGACGGGUGAGUAAUGUCUGGGAAACUGCCUGAUGGAGGGGGAUAACUACUGGAAACGGUCGCUAAUACCGCAUAACGUCGCAAGACCAAAGAGGGGGACCCUCGGGCCUCUUGCCAUCGGAUGUGCCCAGAUGGGAUUAGCUUGUUGGUGGGGUAACGGCUCACCAAGGCGACGAUCCCUAGCUGGUCUGAGAGGAUGACCAGCCACACUGGAACUGAGACACGGUCCAGACUCCUACGGGAGGCAGCAGUGGGGAAUAUUGCACAAUGGGCGCAAGCCUGAUGCAGCCAUGCCGCGUGUAUGAAGAAGGCCUUCGGGUUGUAAAGUACUUUCAGCGGGGAGGAAGGGAGUAAAGUUAAUACCUUUGCUCAUUGACGUUACCCGCAGAAGAAGCACCGGCUAACUCCGUG
rnacentral:rRNA from 1 species